GGCGGCGGGAAGCCCAGCGGUGGGGCCACGCGCGGAGUGCGCGUCACUCUCCCGGCCCCUGGGAAGGUCUGAGACUCGGGCCAGCGGCGGCCCUAGCAGGGCCCUCCCCGCGCGCGGGGGGGUGAGUUCCCAGAGAGCGGGCCCCGGCGAGGGCCUUCGGGCAGGAGAGGCCGCGCGCGCGCGGCGGAUGCCCCCUCCCCGGGGCUUGGAAUAGACUCACGGCCGGCACGGUGAGUUCAAUGGCUGGGCCGGGGCACCCGAGCAGGCCGGGCAUCGGGCCGCGGGGCUCCGGAACCCAAUUCAGACUACUCUCCCCCGCC
rnacentral:RNase_P_RNA from 1 species